UACGAAGGGGGCUAGCGUUGUUCGGAAUCAUUGGGCGUAAAGCGCGCGUAGGUGGCUUCGUAAGUCCGUUGUGAAAGUCAAAGGCUCAACCUUUGAAAGCCGAUGGAUACUGCGGAGCUAGAGUACGGAAGAGGCGAGUGGAAUUCCUGGUGUAGCGGUGAAAUGCGCAGAUAUCAGGAGGAACACCAGUGGCGAAGGCGGAUCUCUGGGCCUUACCUGACGCUGAGGCGCGAAAGCUAGGGGAGCAAACAGG
rnacentral:rRNA from 1 species